rnacentral:rRNA from 1 species
CUACGGGAGGCAGCAGUGAGGAAUAUUGGUCAAUGGGCGAGAGCCUGAACCAGCCAAGUAGCGUGAAGGAUGACUGCUACGGGUUGUAAACUUCUUUUGUCCAGGAAUAAAAAAUCCCUCGUGAGGGGUCUUGCAGGUACUGGUUGAAUAAGGACCGGCUAAUUCCGUGCCAGCAGCCGCGGUAAU